UGGAUUAGCGGCGAACGGGUGAGUAACGCGUGAGGAACCUGCCUCUCACAACGGGAUAGCCUCGGGAAACCGGGAUUAAUACCGUAUGACACUAUCAGAUGGCAUCAUCAGGUAGUUAAAGUGCUAGCGGUGAGAGAUGGCCUCGCGUCUGAUUAGUUAGUUGGUGGGGUAACGGCCUACCAAGACGACGAUCAGUAACCGGCCUGAGAGGGUGAACGGUCACAUUGGAACUGAGACACGGUCCAAACUCC
rnacentral:rRNA from 1 species